GAACAGACAUCCACCCACCCCGCACCCACUCUGAGUCCGAGUCGUCUCCUUCCUCGGAACUUGUCCUCCUCGCAAGAGAGCUCACCGAGCCGCCGGUCGCGAGGACACGCCACCAACCACCUGCCUGCUUCCAAGUCCCUCAGCCAGCCGCUCUGGUCUGGUGGGAUAGCCUGUCGCCGGAAUCCGGUGAGUUCCCCGACCCCCCCUGCGACCGCUACCUCGUGUCUCGACACAAGCAGCCGCCCCUGGAUCCCAGCACCCGCUCGGGAGCACUCUGAUCUCCACAGCCGCAAGCCUCGGGCCGGCUCCCCACGAGCUCGAUCCGCUCAAUUUGCCGGACAAAUUUGACUCUCCGGCACGAGGAGCACCCGAAGCCGUCUUACGAUUCGCAGGGCUCUGCGGUGAGAACCGAUCCGAACGGACUCCCCAACCACAGCCAGCGCGUUGUGGAAUGGGAUAUCGCCGGCCAGCCACCGCGGCGAGAUGGUGACGGGGAGCUUCAGCCGGAGCACGUCGGCGCGGCUCACAGCUCGGGGCGGCGCGGGGAGCCCACGUGUCUCUUCCACCGCGCAGCGCAAGUGGUGGUGGUGGGCGCCCCCGUCUCUCGAGACCGUCGCGCUCGCCUGCUUCCUGGCCUGCUGCGCGCUCAUGCUCUCGGGCGGCCUCUACCUCUCCGUCUCGCGCUACCUGGGCCGGGACCGCGCGGUGGCGGACUUCGCCGGCGGCGACCGCCCCCUCGACUCCUGCGACGUGUUCGACGGCAGCUGGGUGCGGGACGAGAGCUACCCGCUGUACAACAGCUCCGAGUGCGCCUUCGCGGAGCGCGGGUUCAACUGCCUCGCCAACGGGCGGAGGAGCACCGAGUACCUCAAGUGGCGCUGGAGGCCGCGGCGGUGCGACCUGCCGCGGUUCAGCGCCCGGCGCGCGCUGGAGUGGCUGCGAGGGAAGCGGGUCGUGUUCGUGGGGGACUCCAUGAGCCGCACGCAGUGGGAGUCCUUCAUCUGCAUGCUCAUGACGGGGGUGGACGACCCCAGGACGGUCUACGAGGUUAAUGGCAACCAGAUCUCCAAGACGAUCCGGUUUUUAGGAGUGAGGUUUGAGUCGUUCGACCUCAGUGUGGAGUUCUUCCGGUCGGUGUUCCUUGUGCAGCAGACCCCUGCUCCUCCUUUCCAUGGCUCCAAAAGGGUCCGUGCGAUCCUCAAGCUUGAUAAGUUGGAUGAUAGUAGCAGGAGAUGGGAGAAUGCCGAUGUGCUUAUUUUCAAUUCAGGGCACUGGUGGACUCCCAGCAAAUUGUUUGACAUGGGUUGCUAUUUUGAGGCUGGAGGUGUGCUUAAGCUGGGAACAUCCGUCAAUUCUGCUUUCAAAAUGGCGCUUGAAACAUGGGCUUCAUGGGUGAAGGAAAAAGUGGACUUAGAACGAACACGUGUCUUCUUCCGGACAUAUGAGCCAUCUCACUGGAGUGGCUUAAACCAAAAGGUAUGUGAAGUAACAGAAAAACCUACAACUGAGGCCAAAGGAACUGAUAUGAGUGAAUUUAGGGAUAUACUUGCUGAUGUUGUUGCGAACAUGAGCGUUCCCGUGACUAUACUAAAUGUUACUUUGAUGGGGGCCUUCAGGAGUGAUGCACAUAUUGGUAUCUGGAGCCAUCCUUCUACCAUACUUGAUUGCAGCCACUGGUGCCUUCCUGGAGUUCCAGAUGCUUGGAAUGAGCUAAUAUUUUCUCACCUAUUGACAAAUGGUUGGCGAACGCUGGCUACCUGACUAUUGACAUUGUACGCUCAAUUUUGGUUCUUUUGCUCGAAUACCACGUCUGCUUCUUGCAUUUUAGUGUGCUGCUAAGGAGCCAAGACAUGAAGUCUCACAGACAUCAUUAUCUGUACAAGUUGUUCGACUCCCCAUCCGUUUCCUCAAUUGCUUGAUGCUCGAAGAUGAUGAUGGGUGGACCAGGCAGGAUCUUUGGCGAAGGUUGUUCCAACGAAGCUGGAGAAGGCAACACUGGCAAGAAGGGAAGGCCUAAGAUUUAAUUUAUUAUUUGCUCGAUAUUUUGCUGGAUACUGGCCGUAUAUAACCCUGAACAUAGUAUAUCUUCGGAUAUGGACAGAUAUUAGUAAAAUCAUAUCAUUUUCCGUA